UACAGAGGGUGCAAGCGUUGUUCGGAAUGACUGGGCGUAAAGGGCAGGUAGGCCGUCCAGUAAGUUAGUAGUGAAAUCCACGGGCUCAACCUGUGUGCUGCUACUAAUACUGCUGGGCUGGAGAAAAAAAGAGGAGAAUGGAAUUUCUAGUGGAGAGGUAAAAUUCGUUGAUAUUAGGAGGAACACCAGAGGCGAAGGCGAUUCUCUAUUUUUUUCUGACGCUGAGCUGCGAAAGCUUGGGGAGCAAACAGG
rnacentral:rRNA from 1 species